GCCCUGGACCUUGGCUACCGUUUCCUCCGCCCAGACUGCCAAGUCCGGCCAGAGAGGCUGACUCCAUCUAGGAUUCUCACGGCCUUCAUAAAGACUGGAUGGUGGGAGUGAGGUUACUAUUUGUGCAACAGUAAUGUACGCGCAAGCCUUCGCGUUGUGCCUGGCUGACUGCUUAUACACCACAGCUGCCUGCAUGCCACCAUGUUGCAUCAUGAGGAAAACGAACUAAGACUCUGAAAAUGACACGAAGAAGAAGGUCAUCACCAUGUAGGCGCACUUCAAAAAGUUCCAUCUGCCGUUCUUCACACGGACCCUGGCUGUGGUGGUGGCCAGGGGAGGCUUCACUAAAGAAAGAGGGUGAGAAGGACUGAUAACUCGGGCACUCCAAACUGGUGUCUCUCCUCUGUGUAUCUCCUGGGUUGAAUUUUUCUGUUACACUGGAUGUUGUGGCCAUUUCCUCCCAUCGUGGCACUCCGCUCCCAGACAAGCUCUCUGCUCUUUCAGCUCUCCUCACACCUACGCAUCACCGACGUACCCCGUCUAUGUAACAGCGCCCAACCAGUGCACUGGAAAAAGCCACUCAGGGAACCCCAUCCGCUCAGUGGGAACCUCACCAAAGUCCCUCUUUUUUGUCGUUUUGACUGUUUGUUUAAUUUGCUUUGUUUUUUGAAACAGGAUGUCAUGGACUCAGGCUGGCUUCAAACUCAAUAUGUAGCUAAGAAUGUCCUCUCGAUCCUCCUGCCUCCACCUCACAAAUACUCAGAUCCCAGGCAUGUGAUCUUACUGACUCACUUUUCCCUGCGUAUGUUCUCUGUGUGUAUGUAUGUGUUUUAGACAUAUGCAAGCACACACACAUGCUUGUGAAGCCGAGAGGCUGAUGUCAGGGUCUUCAUCAACCCUGCUCCACCUUAUAUUUUUUCCUACCUUUUUUUUUUCUCUUUCUUUUUCUGUGAGACGGGGUCUCUCACUGAACCCGGAGCUCACCACUUUGCCUCGGCUAAACUCCACGUGGGCAAGUGUGGAGGCUAGAGGAUUCCUUCCAGAGUCCUAGCACAUGGGUCUUGGUGAUCAACCUACGGUCAUCAGGUUUGGCAGUAGGCACUUUUACCUGCGAAGACAGCUUGCUGCCCCACUUCAAUCGUCUUUAUUUUUUUAAGACAAAUGUGGUGGCGUGAGUGAGAAAGGCCCCCUAGGCUCCUGGGUUUGGAUUCUUGGUUCUGCAGUUCCUGGAACUGGGAAGGGUUAGAGGCCAUGGCCUCUUUGUGGGUGGGCUUUGCGGGUUUAAAAGACCCACACCAUUCCCUGUUAGUGUGCCAGCUGGCUUUCUCUCUCUCUCUCUCCCCCUCCCUCUCCCCAUCUCGCCCUGCCUCUCUCUCUGUCCUGUACCUGUGGAGCGCAUGGAACUUUUCAGCUAUUGUUCCAAUGUCGUGCCAGCCCGCCUGCCACUGUUCCCCCCACCAUAUGGUCAUGAGCUCACACUCUGAAACUCUGUAAC